rnacentral:rRNA from 1 species
ACUACGGGGGGCAGCAGUGGGGGAUAUUGCACAAUGGGGGGAACCCUGAUGCAGCGACGCCGCGUGGGUGAAGAAGCGCCUCGGCGCGUAAAGCCCUGUCAGCAGGGAAGAAAAUGACGGUACCUGAAGAAGAAGCCCCGGCUAACUACGUGCCAGCAGCCGCGGUAAUACGUAGGGGGCAAGCGUUAUCCGGAUUUACUGGGUGUAAAGGGGGCGCAGACGGCGAUGCAAGCCAGGAGUGAAAGCCCGGGGCCCAACCCCGGGACUGCUCUUGGAACUGCGUGGCUGGAGUGCAGGAGGGGCAGGCGGAAGUCCUGGUGUAGCGGUGAAAUGCGUAGAUAUCAGGAGGAACACCGGUGGCGAAGGCGGCCUGCUGGACUGCAACUGACGUUGAGGCCCGAAAGCGUGGGGAGCAAACAGGAUUAGAUACCCGAGUAGUC